rnacentral:lncRNA from 1 species
CUUUAAAUCACAUCUAUAAUAUGGUCAGAUAAAUAAUUAAUGGAUACAUUAAAUUAACAAAAUCAUUAUUUUCUCUUUGUAUGCAGAGUUAUGAGCAUCUACUGCCCUACAAUUCUUACAAUGGAUGCUUGGAAAUGAAAAGAAUUGUGGUCUUUACCUUUUAGAAUGUCACUUUGAUGAAAACGUCUAUGGAAGAUACAUACAGUCUUUCAUCCCAAAUAUUUCAGGAAAAAUAAUACAUGUAUACCAUCC